rnacentral:rRNA from 1 species
CCUACGAGGUGCAGCAGUGAGGAAUAUUGGUCCAUGGGCGGGAGCCUGAACCAGCCAAGUCGCGUGAGGGAAGACGGUCCUAUGGAUUGUAAACCUCUUUAGGCGGGGAGCAAUGCCGGGCACGCGUGCCCUGAGGGAGAGUACCCGCAGAAUAAGCAUCGGCUAACUCCGUGCCAGCAGCCGCGGUAAUACGGAGGAUGCGAGCGUUAUCCGGAGUUAGUGGGUUUAAAGGGUUCGUAGGCGGAUUUUUAAGUCAGCGGUAAAAUGUCCGGGCUCAACCCGGGCCGGCCGUUGAAACUGGGGAUCUUGAGUGGGCGAGAAGUAUGCGGAAUGCGUGGUGUAGCGGUGAAAUGCAUAGAUAUCACGCAGAACUCCGAUUGCGAAGGCAGCAUACCGGCGCCCGACUGACGCUGAGGCACGAAAGCGUGGGGAUCGAACAGGAUUAGAUACCCCUGUAGUC